UGAACACAGCCCCUUACCUGACUCCUCCUCCACCAACCCACUAAUCAGGCCAGGUUAUAUAAGGCACCUGAGGCCUGUUAAGUCUUCUUGCUUCUGCCUGGCAUGCUGUUGUAGUGUUGGUGUUGCUGCAGGAACAUGAAACCGCCGUUUAAAACUGUAGUUUGUCUUUUAAGUCAUGUGUUUAAUGAGAUCUUUGCUUUACUUUAUCUUACUUCCCUUACCCUGGCCCAUGGUUCCACUUCUUUCGCUGAAUAAUUCUUUGUGAUGCCCCAUGGUGAAGCUGAGUGUCACUUUGUUGGGAGGCUAGGCACCCAUGGUGAGGUACCUCCACCUAUUGCAUGGGAGUUAAGAGCACUGGGACACUAAUGAACUGCACCAUAGUUUUGCUGUGAGGUUUGCUGUCUCCAGUCCUGUCUUAUUUAGUGCUUUUUAUUUGAUUAAUUCCAAUAAAAUAUUUGACUUCUUUUGCAACCGCGUCUCAGCCUCAUCAGUAACGAA